rnacentral:rRNA from 1 species
UACGAAGGGUGCUAGCGUUGUUCGGAAUCACUGGGCGUAAAGCGUGCGUAGGCGGCUUGACAAGCCAGAGGUGAAAGCCUGGAGCUUAACUCCAGAACUGCCUUUGGAACUGUCGAGCUAGAGUGUUGGAGGGGAUAGCGGAAUUUCUAAUGUAGCGGUGAAAUGCGUAGAUAUUAGAAGGAACACCGGCGGCGAAGGCGGCUAUCUGGACAACAACUGACGCUGAGGCACGAAAGCGUGGGGAUCAAACAGG